ACGCGUAUUCGAAGGACUCUCGGCAACGGAUAUCUCGGCUCUUGCAUCGAUGAAGAACGUAGCGAAAUGCGAUACUUGGUGUGAAUUGCAGAAUCCCGUGAACCAUCGAGUCUUUGAACGCAAGUUGCGCCCGAAGCCAUUAGGCUAAGGGCACGCC
rnacentral:rRNA from 1 species